UACGAAGGGGGCUAGCGUUGUUCGGAAUCGCUGGGCGUAAAGCGCAUGCAGGCGGAUUGUUAAGUCGGGGGUGAAAUCCCGAGGCUCAACCUCGGAACUGCCUUCGAUACUGGCAAUCUUGAGUCCGGGAGAGGUGAGUGGAACUGCGAGUGUAGAGGUGAAAUUCGUAGAUAUUCGCAAGAACACCAGUGGCGAAGGCGGCUCACUGGCCCGGUACUGACGCUGAGGUGCGAAAGCGUGGGGAGCAAACAGG
rnacentral:rRNA from 1 species